rnacentral:rRNA from 1 species
UAGAGUUUGAUCCUGGCUCAGGACGAACGCUGGCGGCGUGCCUAACACAUGCAAGUCGAACGGAACUGUUUUGAAAGAUUUCUUCGGAAUGAAUUUGAUUUAGUUUAGUGGCGGACGGGUGAGUAACGCGUGAGUAACCUGCCUCCAAGAGGGGGAUAACAUUCUGAAAAGAAUGCUAAUACCGCAUGACAUAUCGGAACCACAUGGUUCUGAUAUCAAAGAUUUUAUCGCUUGAAGAUGGACUCGCGUCCGAUUAGUUAGUUGGUGAGGUAACGGCUCACCAAGACCGCGAUCGGUAGCCGGACUGAGAGGUUGAACGGCCACAUUGGGACUGAGACACGGCCCAGACUCCUACGGGAGGCAGCAGUGGGGGAUAUUGCGCAAUGGGGGCAACCCUGACGCAGCAACGCCGCGUGAAGGAUGAAGGUUUUCGGAUUGUAAACUUCUUUUAUUAAGGACGAAAAAUGACGGUACUUAAUGAAUAAGCUCCGGCUAACUACGUGCCAGCAGCCGCGGUAAUACGUAGGGAGCAAGCGUUGUCCGGAUUUACUGGGUGUAAAGGGUGCGUAGGCGGCUUUGCAAGUCAGAUGUGAAAUCUAUGGGCUCAACCCAUAAACUGCAUUUGAAACUGUAGAGCUUGAGUGAAGUAGAGGCAGGCGGAAUUCCCCGUGUAGCGGUGAAAUGCGUAGAGAUGGGGAGGAACACCAGUGGCGAAGGCGGCCUGCUGGGCUUUAACUGACGCUGAGGCACGAAAGCGUGGGUAGCAAACAGGAUUAGAUACCCUGGUAGUCCACGCUGUAAACGAUGAUUACUAGGUGUGGGGGGUCUGACCCCUUCCGUGCCGGAGUUAACACAAUAAGUAAUCCACCUGGGGAGUACGGCCGCAAGGUUGAAACUAAAAUGAAUUGACGG